UUUUCUUAAAGGACCAGGAGGAGCAUGUCCUGCUUGAAGUGACCAUCCUACAGAUGCCUUGACCUAGAUGAAUUCACCAUGUUAGCUAGUCCACCAUUAGA